CCUAAGGGGCUCAUUCCUGUGCUGGGUGGGAUUUGGGAGGAACCAACUGCUCCAAGAUACUAAGUUACAGUCUCCCUUGGGAUACCAAAAUCCUCUGAUGCUCAAGUCCCUUAUAUAAGAGGUUGUAGUAGAAUAGUCAGUUAUGCGUAUCCUUCGGUUUCACAUCCGCAGAUUCAAGCAGCCGUAGGUGGAUUGGUCAUAUCCACCAAUCUCUUGGUGGAAUCUGCAGAUGCGAAACCCAUGGAUACCGAGGGAGGUCCGACCCUAUUCAGUUUGAAGAAGCCUUUCCUGAACGCCGGACGGCUUGGACUCGUCAAAGACUGAGGACCAAGAGAGUGGCGCUCUGCAUUCUAGGCCUUCCGUUUGGAGGCCUUUUGUUUUGGUGAAAACCACGAUCCAUGGAAGUGAUUACUGAGCUUGGCUCCUUGAUGUGAAAGCUUUGGCAUCUAGACCAAUUGAAUACUCAGCAAACAGUCACUUUGGCAGAUUACAGAAGGGUCAGUUGAGAAGAGAGAGCUGAUGGAAGAAAUUUCAAGGUGGUGAAGUGGACAGGCAAGGCAGCGGACACUGUGAUGCAGGCCCGGAUGCCUCCUGAGUGAUGUUCCCUUGCUCCAGUUGCUGGGAGUGCCAUUGGCAGACAGCCGUGAACUGCCAGCCCCUCCAGGGACAGUCUCAGCAGCAGAGGGACCUUGACCACAUGCAGCAGCUGACGAGGAGCAGUCUCAGCGUCGUAAAUGUGCACCCUCUGCAGCCACGCAGAAGGGGCUAGGGCUUGGCUUCAUGUUCUGCUGUCGCCCUCUUGGAAAUCUUAAUUUUUAAACAGAGCCUUGCAUUUUCAGUUUGCCCUGGACCCUGCAGAUCAUGUAGCUGGUAUUGAUGAUGGUGGAUACAGGCCUUGCUGUCUAAGCCCGUUCAAGGCAACUCUCAGAAGUCCCCUCUAGCUUUCAAGCUCCUGAUGGAGCCAGCUCAGGCAGUUGUUAGGGCUGCUGUAGAGCUUGACUUCACACCUUCUGCUGCUUAAUCCUGGUGGGUUUCCCUUUCUUCUACAGGUGUUGGUCCCAGGGUCACUCCUUCAUGAACUUCUGGCCCACUGACCUCCACCUUAGGGUCUGCCUCCUGGUGUACUCAGUCUGCAACUGGGGCAUUUUGAAUGUGGGAGCCGAGGGUGAGAGAGGAGUCAAGGACAACUCUGAGCUUGUUGGCCUUGACUUAGUAGAUGGUGAUGCCACGUAUUCACAGAGAAGGGCACUCAAAAGAGGAGGAGCAGUUUGAAGAGAGAACAAUGACACAUGAGGCAUUGUCAUAUUAAGAGUUUAAGAUUUCAGUUUUGUACUUUUAAUUUUGAUGUGACUGAAGGCCACCCAGGAGGAGAUGACUAGUUGUGAGAUGUUAACCUGCACAGAGGUUUGGAUUGGGGUCAUGGGCUGAUUGCAAGGAGUGAGUGUCAUUGCCCAAGAAUAGUGUAUAGACAGAGGGCUACAAGGAGACAACCACUAAGAGCUGAGCAAACAUCCUACAGAGGGGAGGAGAAAGAGCCACCUGGGAGAGAGGAGAGCCAGGAGAGUGUGUGUGUGGACAGGAGCCUGAUGGAAGUGUGUUGACAUGUAUGGUAUUCGGAGGUAAGAAAGGGGAGACCAGAGACGCAAGCCAUUUCAUCCUGGAAUGUGAUUGUGAAAGGAAGGCGAGAGACUGGGGCUGCUGGUAGAGGUACAAGCUCAAGGAAGAUUUUUAAAAUGUUUUUAAAGUGAAAAGCAGGUUAUUUAUUUUGCACACCUUUCUUAGAAGAGGCAUUCUAGAAUGACUGGGAUAAAUGGUAGCUUUUCUGUUAGUCUUUGAAUCAAGCCUUCACGUCUCUCUCCCCUAUACCUCCUUUAAAAUGGUGGCAUUUAAUUCUAGCUUUUGUCAAGUGGAAAUUUCCUUGGAAAUCCUUCAAAAUGGGUGGGGCUUUUAAACUAGGGGAAAUGAUGAACCUCGUCUCCCUGGUUCAUCCCGGUUUCAGAUUUUUGCAGAGUGGCAAAUCACUAGAGGGCGUACCUGUCACAUUGCCUUAGAAACGGGAUGGCUGUUGGUGAAUUCAGGGAGAGUCCAGAGGAGGGCUGAGAGGACGAGGGAAGACUUUAACACUGUGUCUUGGUGUUUAGGUCUCGAUCAAAGGUAGUGAGGCCCCAGGGAUCACCUCUUGGUUUUGGCUUUUGUGGUAGGACAUUAUUGACAAGCCGGAGGAUAACGAAGAUAUCCUCUUCCUUUUUGCCUUCAAAAAUUACUUUAUUUGCCUUCAUUGUUUUCAUUUGAUCUGAUCUGUUUCCUCUAUCGUUUCUUAAGCAAACAUUUGUUAAGCACUGCCAUGAUUAUUCAGGCACACCAGAUGCUGGUGACAUGACAGUGAACAAAACAGACAAAAAUCUUUGCCAUCAUGGAGCGUAUAUUCUAGUGUGAGACCAAAAAUAAACAAGAUAAGUUAAUUUAUAUAGUAUAUUAUAAGCUGUUAUAUGCUGUGGAGAAAGGGAGUUUCAAUCAGGCUACCUGCUUAUACAGUUUGUCCUACAUUAAGGCUAUUUGGCAAGUCAUAAGUAGGGGCUGAACCAGGGUCAGUCUGCUGGGGAGAAGGGUGCCUUUUCCUGACUAAUCAUGGUGGGGCUUCAGGAGGUGACCAAAAUAUCUGCCUUUAAAUGGGGCACUCCUUGAAAUGUCCUUUUGGCAAUAUUGAGUUCCUGAACUUUUUUUUGGAAAGGCUGACAUUUUACUUAGAGGAAAAAAAAUUUUUUUGAAGGAGGGAGGAAAUUAGGUUUAUUUAUUUAUUUAUUUAUUUAUUUAUUUAUUUAAUGGAGGUACUGGGGAUUGAACCCAGGACCACAUGCAUGCUAAGCCCACACUCAUAUCACUGAGCUAUACCUUCCCCACCAAGUUCCUGAACUUUUGAAGUCUUCACCUAAAUUUUACAAACCCCAUACUAUUACUCUAAGCCUUUUUUGUUGAUGAAAAAAAUCAGGUAUUUUAGAAUUAAGACCUUACUAAAGUCCACAGCAUUCCAUCAAUUGUAUUCACCUUAUCUACAUAACCUGUCAGCUGUCUUCGAAUAGCCAGUGGGUUUGAUGGGAUUUCUCCUUCAGAGAGUCAGGCUGAGCAUUCCUCCAUACCUGGCGUUGUUGAUAUUUUUGCAUUAAUUAUAUGACGAUUAAAUCCAAUAUCUUUUUGGGACUUCAAGUGAAGCUGAAUAGUCUAUGAUUUAUGGGGCUAUGACAUGUUUUCUUUAAAAAUGAACAUAACUUCUGCCCUUUUCAGACAUAGCACAGAUGUCCUGUCUUCCAGUAUUUCUUAGAGCUAAUGGCUUGGCAGUGUGGGCUAAUUUCUUGGGUAUUUUAAGUUGGAUGCCAAUUAGCCUUCUCUAUCUAAAACACAUUUCAACAUUUUCUUCCCAAGACAAGUCAGUCUUGACUUGUCUGCCACUCUCUUUUGGUAUAGAUGGUGCAUAUUACGUGUAUGAAAUUGCAGUAACUUGUUUAAAAAGUUAAGAUUGAGGCUUGAGAACUUCUAGUCUAUUUAGAGAGAUCAGCUAUGAAGUAUCGCAUGUAAAAAGAGGGCAACAUUUUCACUGCACUUCUUGUUUCUCCUGAUACCAUUAAUAAUGUUUUCUUUCUACUUUUUAUUUUCCUUGCAAUUUAUUAUUUUGCUUGGGCAACUGAUUUUGUCCUGUAAGCCUCUGUACUCUCAAUGAGAAUGAGACCUUGUGGUUAGUCUCAGAAUGGUAGAAAAUCCAAUUUAGAGCUGGUAGAGGAAAAGACAGAGACAGACACUGGCCUGUGCGGGUGAAGAUCAUUCUAACCACUUUGGAUAGUAAGAAAAUUAAGUGCUAAUUAGAAUUAUUGAGCCUCAUUGUCUUUUCCUAUUUAUUCUAUUUCUCUCUGCCUCUGUCUUUCUCUACCACCUUGCCAAGCAUCCUCAGUGACUCUUUUCUUGGGUUAAAGCCAGAUGCUCAGUCACUGCAAGAGUCCUUCCCAGUGAAAGC